UACGAAGGGUGCAAACGUUGCUCGGAAUCAUUGGGCGUAAAGCGCACGUAGGCGGCCUCAAAAGUCGGAUGUGAAAUCCCGUGGCUCAACCAUGGACGUGCAUUCGAAACUGCGAGGCUUGAGUAUGGAAGAGGGUCGCGGAAUUCCCGGUGUAGAGGUGAAAUUCGUAGAUAUCGGGAGGAACACCAGUGGCGAAGGCGGCGACCUGGGCCAAUACUGACGCUGAGGUGCGAAAGCGUGGGGAGCAAACAGG
rnacentral:rRNA from 1 species